UUAUCAAAAAAUAAUUUAAUAAAAAUAUUAUAUAAUAUUCUUUCUUUUAUUCUUCCUAUACGAUUAACAAAUUGAAGAGAGAUUUAUUUUCACUCAUUUUCUCUCUCAUCUAUUUUUCUUCGGAUUCAUUCUUCGUAUCAAAUAGAGGAUAAAAAAUUUUAUAAUUGUAAAUAGCACAAAUAUGUAGUGUAUCCCGGCC
rnacentral:lncRNA from 1 species